CUCGUGAUAUUCUCGAAGAUGAAAUGGCUCAUAUGAAGGGUUUACUGUUCACACUGUUUGAGCAGAAGAGAGGAAAAAAUCGCCGCCCACGGUAUAACUGGAUUAAACAACCUGACUUGUACAACGAAUUCAAAUUUAACCCUCCUUCAGUUUGCCCAGAGAAUCUCCCAUUACUGUCGAAUUGCAACCAGAACCUGUGCAAGAACGUGAAGUGUGACAAUGAAAGGAAUUUCAGCUGCAGGGUCAACCCAUGUGGAACUUGCAGACCCGAGUGUUACGAUGUGAAAGGACACAAAGUGCAGACUCCUCGAGCCUUAACAAGGUGCGAGUAUCAGCGUAUAGAAAUGCGACGCCAUAGUCUUUACAGUUACGUUCCGAGAUGUAAUGAAAAUGGAAGCUUUGCUGAAAUUCAGUGUUAGCAUGAGGUCAAGAAAUGUUGGUGUGUUGACGAAGAAGGAAGAGAGAGGAACGGUACAAGACAGAGAGGAGCACCCUCGAAUUGUAGCGAAGGGGUCCAAGUUUUGUCACCCUGUCAAACAGCCCAACUUAACAUCAAAGAUCUGGGGGAACAAUUCUGUGUGAUGUCUGAGAGGUACGAACGGACUGCAAAGACUUUGAAACUUAGAGCACAAAAUGCAACACUGUGGAGGAAGCAAAAUAAUGAAAGCUUGCGACUUGUUUGGCAGCGGGAAAAAAUCUGCCGUAAGCUUACACGGGUAACUCACCUGUACGCGAUAAAUACAAAUGUACCGACUUGUGCAGCAGACGGAAGUUAUGACAGCAAACAGUGUACAUCGUCUAGAAAAUUCUGUUGGUGCGUUGACAAAAAUGGGAGGCCGAGGGAGAAAAUGCAAAUAAAACGAUACGAAGAACUCAACUGUUCCAAGACUGCAGCUGAUCACGAAAAACGCUGGACAUGUUCUUCGCUGCUAAGAUCUGGACAGAAAACGAGACGCAUCUGCAGAAAGCACGUUGACUGUUCUGACUCAAAAGGCAUGUGCUGUAGGUCCAGCAGGUCCAGGAAUGGAAACAAAGUUUGUUUAGACCCGCCACCAAAGAUGCCAGAAAAGAAACCAGGACUGUGCCCCGAUGUGCCAACAUCCCCCACCUACAGUUGUAAAUCCCAAUGUGAGACUGACGCCAACUGCGAAGGCGAACACAAAUGCUGCAUGAUGGGAUGUGGGAAGACGUGUGUUCCUCCCAACGAACCAGUAUGCCCUAAGGACAAGCCUUUUAAACUGUGCAUCUAUGACAAGUGCCUCUCAUCCCCGGGCUGUUUCAAUCAUCCCUCAGCCUAUUGUCGAAUGAAUUACUGUGGAGGAUGUACUGCUGAAUACUUUAAUAACUACAAUCGAAAAGUAGACUGCAUUAAUGGAACUCAGUGCCAAACUCAACGACAUUUGGCCUCAGAAAUAUACAAGAAGAAGUUUUUCGGAGUCUUUGGUUCUCUGCCAAUGGUCAUUCCAGGAUCUCAAGUUGAAGACUACAGUCACAGGCCAAGUGAAAGUGAUGGAGACAGUAAUGGAGGACAGAGAAGCAACACGAAAAAUCACCAACAUGGAGGUAGCGUUGGUGGACAGCAUGAAAAUGGUGGUGGCCGAAUCGGCAGUAAUGUUCGCAACCAUCGUAUAGAGAAUGGAUAUCCAAAUGGUGUUUCAGGAGCAAGUGGUUCAAGUGGGUCCAGCGGAUCAAGUGGAACGAGUGGGUCCAGUGGCUCAAGUGGUUCAACUGGCUACAGUGGAUCCACUGGAUCCAGUGGAAGUAGUGGAUUCAGAACACGAAGGAGAGGAAAAAGAUCCAUUAAUGGAUUUCGGAAUGGAGAUCAAUCUGGACAGGAAGGACGUACAAGCAAAAGGAACGAAAGCAAUAGGAGGGAAGUGGACCUUGGUGUCUUCGUCCCUGUCUGUGAUUCAAGGGAUGGAGAGUUCAUACCAGAACAGUGUAACGCCACGGCUGGUGUGUGUUGGUGUGUGGACGGAAAUGGGCAAGAGAUAGUUAAUACGCGUGAAAAGGUGCCAAGAGGAAAAUGAAACUGUGCAGCAGCUGUUAUUAAGUCGAAAAGCGAUGAAAAGAAAACUGGAAAGAGGGGGCAGAAUGAAUUGAGGGUGGCAAGAGUAAGUUUAAAGCUGGUGGGGGAUUUUGAUGAAGUCACAGGCAACAAAGAAAACUUUA